UGGCCCAGUACACCACUGGUCACAGCUUGCCAAGUCUCCCCAUCUCCCUGCUUCUAGGCUCUACGCAGCCACAACCGCAUUUCUCGCCACAUCCUCUCCACCAGCUUAUACGGCCAGUCUACUAGCUCAUCACAAUCUGCUUGGUGCCCAUGCUGCUCUAGACCUGGGCCAGGUGUUCAAACACGAGGGCGACCAAGAGGGAGGGGUUCUCAGGCAUGUGUGAGAGAAACAAGGUGAGCACGGGGUGCUGUGGGCCCUGGGCAUAAAUGUGGGUGAACCCAUGGGAGGCAGAGGACAGAAAGGAUUCCAAAGGAGACAUCAGGGGCACAAGGGCAUUCCAAGAUCGGGCACCCACGCUCUGGGGCCGGGAGAGGCGUGGGAUGUGCAGCAAGGACUUCUGCACUGUUGGUGCGCAUGAAGCAAGUCGUGGAGAAUGUGGCUGCAGGGACAGGCAGGAGCCAGAUCCCCACCGUCACCCUGCAGGCAGCUGUGAGCCUGUGAAGGAGCCUAAGGGCUUCUGCCCAGGAGCCGACAAGCCCCCAGACGGCAGUUCUUGUACCUAGGUACCCACCCCACCUGCAGAGGAGUGCCCAAGGCAGUUGCUUGGACAGUCAGGGCAGCCAAGCCAAGAGAGGAGAGAUGUGGAGGUGGCCCAGUUCAAGUCCCACCUCCUCCAGGAAGCCUUCUCAUAUUUGCUGAUCGCCCAUGGCCAUUUGCAAUCACGACUGGGCUCCCGACCCUGCGCUGUGCUGGGCAGGCACCUGCUGCUCCAGCUUCCCACUGAGGACCUGCACUACUGAAUGGAAGGAAGCGGUGAAAGGCCCAUCUGGCGGCCAGAAAACCUCAGAUGCCGGCCGGCUUCAUCCGUGUCUCCCCGUAAUGCUCUGUCCCCACGGAGGCAGCAGAAACAGCCGAUCCCUGCCUCACCGGGACGAGGUACAACAGAAACCAAGCCAACGCGGCGGCGCCAGGACAGGCGUUGGAACGGAAAGCAGACGCGUGGCCCAGGAAAGGCUAGUGGGAGAGGUGGCGGGAAAGCGAGCCGCGGCCGGGUUGCGAAAGGGGGCCAGAUGGGCUGUCUGCUUCGGCACAAGAUAGCUGUGUGAGCUCCAGCCAUCGUGUCUGCUUUCGAACCAGCAGGAAGAACCAGACAGUGCAGAGGUGAGCUGUGAGUACCCUACAGGGGGACGAGGAGCCACAUGGGGCCGUAAGAGCCUCCCCUGUGGAAACACCUGACAUCUCCAGCCACAGCUGACCCCAGAAGCCUAGCCACUAAUGCCAACUCUUCAGCGCCCUCAUCCUACAGGUGGGAAACCUGGCCCAGGCAGGGAGGGACACACACAGGUCUGCUAUGAGCCUCUGGCUGUGCUGGGCCCCAGAUCUGUCUCUGCCAUUGAGGCCAGGACUCUGCCCCCGUAUCAGCCACGAGCACUCUCAGCACAUACCGGUAUAAAAUCGUGGCCCACAGGGUCACAGAUGAGCUGUAUGAACUUUGGACAGGGUUCCGCCCACACCCCCAUAACUCACAGUCAGGGCCUGCCAAUUAGGCUUUCACGCGCACACUGCCUGGGCAGUCACGCUGGGUCCGGCACACCCAGCCUGCCACGGGGGCGAGCGGGUGGGGUGCACACCUGCUCUGCCCCUUGCUGGCCGCCCAGGCAGCCUGCCCCACUCUGUGGUGAGCAAGCAUGGGAAGAUAAGCAGGGGGAGACCGGGAGAGGGACCCUGGCAGCCAGAACUCGCAGAUACCCGUUCUGUCCCACUGGAUGCAGCCGCAGUCCUCCCCCCCCCCGCAGAUUGUUGCCCCAUGGCUGGUCCCAGACUGGGAGCAGCGGCCAUGGGCGCCUCUUCCAGCGACCCCCAGCCUGCCCUGCUGUCCUUCUGUGCAUCCCGCCCUGUCUGCUGGACACAGGAGCGCAGCCAUCUUGACCAAGCCACAGGUUUCCUCCACGGUGCCCUGCAAGCAGCCCUUUGUUCUUCCGAGAGUCCGGCCUCCUCCCCAGCUAUGUCCCAUCAUCUAGUUUUGCUUUGAGCUCAGCUGCUGACAGUCAACCCCACGUAAAUCCGAGCAUUCAGGAGGAGCCAGUGAGCUCGGCCCAGGCCUCUGGGUGGAGGCAGAGACGCUAGUGCCUGACCUGCCGCCGGAGAACAAGCCGGUGGCCCCAGGGCACCAGCUUUUGUACCACAGACAGGAGCUUGUCUGAGAGCUCAGAGCUGAGGAGCGAGAUGGGGCACUUCCAACACCAUGCGAGCUCCUGGAUUCACCCAGACCUGAAGCAGGAACUGCCAGCAAUUUAUGGGGGCCGAUUCCUUUCUGCUGGAACAUGCCUGAGCUGGGUUUUCUUCCCCUCUGAGUCAAGGGCUCCAUCUGGCUUGGCUGUGAGAAGCUCUGUGAGCUGGGAGGUGCCUUGUAAGCAGGGCAGUUUGGGAAACCAAAGGCUGCCUGCUACAUUGUGAGCGCUAGACACAGCUCAGGGCUGUGAGCUACAAGGAAUCUGGGAAACGAGCUGCUGUAUCCUGGGAGGUCAUUUCUGACCAUCAUGGCCCACCAGUCCCGGCCCCAGGAAGCAGUGAGGGGGCAUGCGUCCCCAGGGGAGGGUCAGGGAGGAGCCCCCAGAGGCCUGGGUGGCCUGCCUAGGCUCUGCAGGAAGGACAGUGGGAUUUCCAGGGUUGGCCCCUCCCUCCCUGUGGGGAGCAAGAGGUCAAGAGCAACUGGGUCAGUGUAGGGCAGAGCCGGUGGGGGGGCCAGGAGCAGGGCCCGGCCGGGACAUUGUUUGGGGAGCACACCGCCCCACCACAUCAGCCUACCAUGGGGGCCUCCUGUCUGUGUCACCACCCACUGAAGGCCCCUCACCCUACACUGUGCCUGGCACCCAGCCCCCUAAGGGGCUGACCAACACCAGAUACCACUCUGUUGGCAGAAACCAGGGUUCCUGGCCAGCUGACCCUGACAUCCCCCACCGUGGACCCUACGUGGGCACCAUGCCCUCCCUCAGCCCAGCGUGCCCCAGCAGGGGUAGGAGCUGCACCACCAGGUGGCCUUCUGGAGCUUGCUGUCCAUGGAGUGGGAAUCAGACCCCCUCCUUCUAGAGACGGGGGCCAAGGCUCCUAGAGGAAACCCUGGAGGCCAGAUGGAAGUGGAAUAGUGUUUUCCAAUUGCUGAAAGAAAAGGACAGAAUUCUGCAUCCAGUGAAAAUAGCCUUCAGGAAGGAAAGCAAAGUAAGAUGUUCCCAAGUGGAGGAAAACUAAAGAGAACUUUCUGUGCUGACUCCACAACUUCUCAUGAGCCUAUCAUUGUUUCAAAAUAAAAAUUUUUU